CCGCAAACUAUGACAUCAUGACCUGAGCUGAAGUUGGACGCUUACCCAACUAAGCCACUCAGGCACAGAUCUUCAUGACUCCCCUAUACACUUCUUAAUUCAAGCAACAUGCCCUCUCAGGCACCCACGUACCAGACUUCAAAAGACCUGACUUCUAUUACCACCUCUUCAGUGAAUUCUCAACUGCCUCCCUCAGUUUUCUGAGCUUUCACAGAGCCGUCAUCAUCACAUUGACCUACUCAGCUGUGUAAUUCACUCAGCUCCAAGUCUCUACAAAGCAGGAGCUGUUCUUCUCUACCAAUGAAGAAAUUAAAAUUUAAACAACUUGCCUAAAGUUACACACCUGGAGAAUGAUGGAGACCAGCAUUCAAUUUCAGUUCUUCUUACUUCGCUUGUGAAAAUACAAUAGGGAUUGUGCUAAUA